UUUCAAAUUGAUACAUCCCUUUGGAACAAGAACAAUCCAAAGCCAUCAAAGUCAUGGAAAAACAGUAGAUAUAACACCACAAUUGUGCUAUCAAUUAUCUGAAGGAAUAUUAAACUGAAUUAACGUUCCGUUUGCCCGAUGAUCGUUUCUUGGAAUAUUAUUAAUUUAUCAUACAACGAUUAAUCCCUAACAUGCUCCUAUGAAUUUAACAGCUGCACGUUGGAGCUCAGAAAUACCUGAAGAAUUCAGAAGAAUUCGCAGAUUCGCAUCUGAACAGACCAGUCAGCUUCAAGCCUUCGUUUGAAGCCUCAAACGUCCUCAAAUCGUAUUUCGCCCAGAAAUACGACUUCUUCGUCUUCGAGAGAGCUUUCCGUGGCCGUCUGAUUCGUCUGAAUCGGAUAUCUGUGGAGGAAGUUAUGGCUGUUUUACGGAGACUGCCAGAACUUGGUUUCCUGCGAAAAUCUGACUCCAGCUCUGAUCUUCUCGACUGUAUCCUGCUCAGCUUUCACCGUUGGAUGGACAACGAUCUAUGAAAGUCCCAAGAGAGAAAUAAGCCCCACACGUUUUUCUUCCCUGCGCCCCACAGCUCUCAAAACCCUAAUAUUUUAUCAGUGUGUUUUCCUGAGAGCUGACAGCUGUAUUUAAAUAAAAUUAAAUACGUGUGGGCACAAAAUUAGUGUAGGAGGCGUCUUUCUCUCCUUCUAGGGCUAGGAGACAUUGGGCCAGUCCAGGGACCAGAUACAAGGAAUAAAGAUGGGCCUCAAAUAAAUUAAUUUAUCUAUGGUCAGCCCAGACCAUAAUUAAUUUAUAAAUAUCAGUUCAUUCCACUAGAGAACCGAUACUGACUUACCCCUUUAUUGCCGGUGAUGAGUCGGGGGCUUGUAUUUAGACUUAUUAAAUCUCCGUAUUUAAAAUAUCCGACACCCAUUAAUUAAUUAGAGCUCUGACAGCUUAAAUUAAUUAAUCUCUUAAUAAUUCCUUAAGCAGUACCACUCAAACUUUAUUAUUACGCCUGAACUUAAUCAACCUGCAGGGUUUAGCGUAAUAAACCUUAUUGAGCUCCUUAAGGGGAUGUCAUUAUCCUAUACCGGAUACGGGUACUAAUACAGAUAAUCAAAUAUCAUAUAUUAACCGCUAUCACCCAAGAUACAGAGUACUCGAGUUAGUAUAUAACCUUCACCCAUAGUAAGUCAAAGUGAUAUACGAGUUAACAUAUAUAUCUGAAUACUUAUUAGUAUUAAGAUUUAUAAGUCACCGAGAUCUUGAUUCUUCACUUAAGUCAGAUAGAAGAAUACAUCUCAAACUGUGGUCCUAUCAAUACGUAAUGACGUACCAGUAUAGACAAGUAGCCAAGACAAACUACUUCCAUCUAUACUGCAGCCUAAACCAAUAACUUGUCCUAGAGUUAUUUCGGCUGUGAUCAUAUUAUAUCUCUUAAGGUUAUUCCAAUUAUAUGGUCUUCUGUGAUCUACAACACACCAUAUAAUCUACUUAUAUAGAGAUAAAGAACAUACAUAUGCAAUCAUGAACACAAUCAGAUAGGAGAUUAGAUAGUGAACUUAGGAAACAUUGUAUACAAGCAUAAAACGUUCUUGCUUUCAGUAUACAAAUCCAACAUUAUCAUGUAAGAAAAUAAAAGAUUUUAAUGCUUCAGGUCAAGUGAGAUGAUUUCAGUGAUAAUACCCCUACUUUAUAUAAAUGAAUACCCAUAAAGAUAGCUCCCCACAUCUCCCAUAGCCAGUGGAAAUGAUAAAUUAUAGAUCAAUUCGGUUUCUACAAAUUCCCUAUAACACAAAUCAACUAAUGUCUUAGUUGCUGACAUAUCAUCAAGUUGAAGUUAUUAGCAGUAGAAAACAACUGUAACAUCACAAUUACCCAACAAAAUACCUAUGCAUCCACCAAUUCGUGAUAUUAAUACUAAGCUUAGAAAAAUCUCACCCAAAACUUUCUUGAAUGGUAAAGGAACAAAUUUGUGAGAUCUCCCUUCCCUGAUGCGAUUCCGAUGAAGAUCGACGCGAUUCCAGCUAGGAUCGAUGUACCACGGAGCUUCGACGCCUUGUAGCAGGCAAGAAAACGGAGAACGUUGCCCCCCCCAGUCAGAACACAAUCAGAGUUUCUAGGGCGCAAUAGUUCCUGCGCAGCGGCGGCGAGAGGUUCCUAUAUCUUCGAGUGGGGUCAGAGAUAACGGAGGUGGCCAACACAUAGGCUGCGAUGUAGCCGUGCAACGCAGAGCAAAGUUCGAUAGUGCCAGAUUGAAUUUAUUUCACAAACUUUGCCUUCGAUGAAGUCGAUGCCCGAUACCUGUAUGUUUGCAUCCAUAAUCAAAGAAAAAGAGAAUUAGGACCCCCAAAUUGAUAGGAACAACUAUAGGAGUGCAUUAAUAUCUGUGAAAUUGAGAAUAAAAAUGAGGAUUUAGUGGAUUUGUCGUGGCUGCAGCUGUCAAAAUGCCUGUAAAUCUUUUUUGAUAUUUUUCUGAUUUAAGCUCGCCGGACCAGAGACUGAGUGGGGCUGAGGAUCAUUUGGGAACGGUGAUGGAAUCUGGAGCUUAGGGACGACUGCAGCCGUCUUUUUUACCGGAAUCCUUGAAGAUAAGCGAGAGAUCGAGAUCUGCGAGCUGCACUGGGCUCCGGCGCCGCCUCCACCGGCACGGCGAGGCAAAGGGCGGCCCCCAUCUGCGACUCCGAAUCCUGUUCGUGGAAGACCCAAUUUCCCAAUUUUUCCACCUUGGAGGAAGAUUUUCCAUCGAUCUGGGUAGAAUGACCUUUUUUCCCCUCUUGGUUGAAAAUGAACAGUAUGUGGGAAUAGAAGUUCACUCGAAUUUGAAAAACCCACAAAUCAUAAGAUCUAUUCACGCCUCAUACGAACCCAACAGAAAAUCCCAUAAAUCUUGUCACUAGAAUCUGGAAAACCGAAGAACCUAGACCUGAAUCCCAAUUUGAAAACCAAAAAACACAAACCCCAGUCGAACACCCUCUUUCUUUUUCUUCGAUGAACAGUAAUCAGGAAAAUGAUGAUUUUUU
rnacentral:lncRNA from 1 species